rnacentral:rRNA from 1 species
UACGAGGGGGGCAAGCGUUGUUCGGAAUUAUUGGGCGUAAAGGGCGCGUAGGCGGUGCGGUAAGUCACCUGUGAAACCUCUAGGCUUAACCUAGAGCCUGCAGGCGAAACUGCCGUGCUGGAGUGUGGGAGAGGUGCGUGGAAUUCCCGGUGUAGCGGUGAAAUGCGUAGAGAUCCGGAGGAACACCAGAGGCGAAAGCGGCGCACUGGACCACAACUGACGCUGAGGCACGAAAGCGUGGGGAGCAAACAGG